CCACCUCCUGGGCCCCAUUCACCUUAUCAAGCUCUUUGUACCCUCCUGACACAAGCAGCUCCCAGAGAGAACUCCUCCCUGAUGCCCAGGCCAGACUGUCAGCCCUGUGGGGACAGGCACCGUGCCUGCUGUCACUGCCCCUGGUCUCUGGCGCCUUGCAGGACACCUGGCAUGUUGGCACACUAGUAAAUGGGGCACCGCCCACCUGAUUACUCACACCGGAGUCAUCCCUGACGAGUCCGCCUCCUCCCCCGCCGCAGCUCCCAGAAUCUCGUAACUGCCCUUCUAAAUGCAUCUGGAAUCUGCCUGCUUCCUUCCCUCCAUCCCCACGGCCGCCAGGAGACUCAGAGGAAACCAGUGCAGGUGAGGCUGUGUUUCAGGGGCUUAGACUUUCCACUAAGUCCCGAGGGUCCCCCACACCCAUCCCCAGGCCUCUGCACACAGGGUCCCUUCUGUCCAAGUCGCUGUUCCUCUACCUUGGCACCAGUCUGCCCUCAUCUCUCCAUUUGCCCUCACAUUCUACACAUGGGUUUUUUUUGUUUUGUUUUGUUUGUUUGUUUUUGUUUUUUAUCCUUACAGCAACCCUGGGAGGUAGGUCCUGUGAGUAUCCCCAUUUUGUUGGUGAGAAACCUGAGGCUGGAAGGUAAAGAAACUAUGCAAGGGACACAGUAAGAGGCUGAGAUGAGAUUCAAAAGGCUCACUCCCAGGGCCUCUGGCUGCAAAGCCCUGAGGGCUGAGCCGCUUCCAGCCUCAGCUGGUCAUUACCUGUAUUUGUUCACAAAUGGCCCCUGAGGUCCUACUGUGGGCCCAGCACAGUCAUAGGCACUGUACAACCUGAAUGCCCACCACUCCCAGAAACUCUCCCUGAGCCCCAAAUCGAAAUUAGGUCUCCCUGUUUCACUUCCGCAUAGGACCGCACAUGCUUCUCUGUCUCCUCAGCACAGCUUGUAAUUGGCAUUGCUCUUGUGACUCCUGGAUUGUCUCCCCUCUGGACUGUAAAUUCCAGGGGGGCAGGCUUUGCACAGCUGGCCCAUGGCCAGAUGUCUGGAUGGCUGGUACACAAUAGGCACAAAAUGAAUGAAUGGGCGAGCCCAUACAUGCCCUGGCAGAGACCAUCAGUGUGUGGAAUAGAUGUAUUUUGACUAAAAAGUGGCCUCAGAAUUAUUUUUGGUAAAAUGCUUUUCCCAUGGAGCCGAUCAUAGCUGUGAGCUCCAUGGUAAAAACUUCCGCGAAGGCCGGGAAAUAGUGAGCGCCCUGAGUGAGCCGCUCUCAGCCACACCGCACAUCAGAAGCCACUUUAUCCUGUUUCGGACACCUGCUUCACACCUGGAGGGCUGGAGCCCGAGGCGUCUGGAUUUUUAAAAACUCCUUGUGCUCACGUGCCCAGCCAGACCUGAGAGCCGAGGCCUUAGCCAUGCAAUUUGCUGCUUUGUGAAUUGCAAAAGUUAUCGAACCUUGCUACUGUGAAUGUUUACCAGGUUGCUCAGUAAGAUGCUGGGGAGACAGAGACGAAGCUCCCAGGCCUGUGGCCAAGGCUCAGAGACGUGCUACUGAGCAAGACCCGGAAAAGCUUCCCGCCCGGUCAGGGCCACUUCCCCACUGCCACUAUGGCAGGCAGGAGCUGUGCUGGGGCCAUCCCUGGGCUUCACGCCAGCUCCGUCACAUCCCUGGUUGUGUGGCCUAACUCAUCUCCUGUGGCCACUGCAACAAAUGACCACAAACCUGGGGGUGUAGAACAACACAAAUUAAUUCUCUUACCUUUCAGGAGGUCACAAGUCCUAAAAAGGUGUCUACAGCGUUGGUUUCUUCCGGACGCUCUAGGGGAGGACCCCUUUCCAGAGACGCCCCCAUUCCUUGGCUUAUGGCCCCUUCCUGUCUUCAAAGCCAGUGGCCCAGCAUCUUCUAAUCUCUCUCUCUCUCCGGUCACAUCUCCUCCUCUGACUCUGAUGGUUCUGCCUCCUUUCUUCCCUUAUAAGGACGCUUGCAAUUAUAUUCGGUCCACCUGGCUAAUCCAGAGUAUUCUCCUCAUCUCGAAAUCCUUAAUCACGUCUGCAAAGUCCCUUUGCCAUGUCAGGUGACACACUCACAGGCUUCAGGGAUUAGAGUGCAGACAUCCUAGGCAGGGGCAGGGGACAUUAUUCUGCCAGGCUCAGUGGCCUUGCCUAGGAACUGGCCACUCCAUGCCUCAGGGCCACGUCGGAAAGUCAGGGGGGAUAACAGUAACAGAGGCAGUGGAAGUCAUAGUAUAGAAGGAAAAAGAGUGAUAGAAAUAGUCAUGGCAAUGAUUAUGGAGAUGUGAGGAUUGAUUUUCUAUGUAAGUCUGUAGAAGAGCAUCUGACUAAUAAAUGUUCAAAACACAUCAACUGUCAAAUACAUUUUAUUAGUGAUAUCUCUAGCACUGUGCCACAGGCCCUAUGAGCUGUAACAGCCUAUAAAAUGAUUUUGAGAUUAGAAACAAUGUAUAUAUGACAAAAUAAUUUUAUUUAUUUACUUUAAGAUGGGGUCUCUG
rnacentral:lncRNA from 1 species